rnacentral:lncRNA from 1 species
CAGGAGGAGACUUUGCUUUCAGCUGUGAGUCAGCCUAAUGCCAUGCCCCUUAAGACAUCUGCUUACGGCUCGAUUUUGGCAGUCUUGGGAAGCCCUGCCCCUUUAUGCCACCAUUCUCCAAUGAGGGGGUCUCUUUUUCCUGGCUGGCAACCCUCUUUGCUUCAAGGAGGCCUAAACAUCCAUUUGUGCUUCUUGAUCCACCACAUUACAUUUCUGCUUGACCAACUGCUGAAUCGUUUCCCAGGAUCCUGCCAUACUGAGAAGCUCUAGUCAGUCUCCUGGAGUCAGAAUUCUUCAAUCAAGAGGCAAGAACCUUUUUCAUGUAGGCCUGAAACCCCUGUGGACACAUGUCAAGUCCUCUCAAUAGCAUUUCUACCCAAAGGCUGCUUAUGAUCCUGGCAGCUUAGCAAGCCUCCAGCUGGACCAUGAAAUUCUAAAUUCCCUAUCUUCAUGGACAUCUCCUAGUUUGCCACCAAUAACCUGUUUGGAGAACAUGCCAUCAGACGUGAUGGGGAAGGACAGUGCAGGGUGUGGUGGGGAGGAGAAAUGUAAAGUGCUCUCUGAUCUGAGGGACUCACAUUUCAAAGUGCCUCUUCAUUCAAGUUGCUUUUAAAACUCCAGUUUUCUUUUGUGGUUAUUGAGAAGAGUAGUUGCUGAACUGCUUUGCUAUCUUUGAUCAUCCUUUUAAUUUCCACAGGAUCAGUAGUGAUGACUCCUUUUUCAUUUCUGAGAUUGGUAAUUUGUGUCUUCCUUUUUUUCCCUUAAUCUGGCUAGAGGACAAUCAAUUUUGUUGAUCUCUUUUUCUGCCUUCUCUGGCUUUAAUUGACAUUUUAUAUGAUACAAUUUUAUCACUUAGCAUUUCAUUGAUUUAAAAAAAUUGUUUUCCUAUUUUCAAUUUUAUUGAUUUCUGUUAUAAUUUGUAUUAUUUCUUUUUUUUCUGUUUGCUUUAGGCUUAAAUGGCUCUCUUUAUAUGGUUCCUUAAGGUGGAGGCUUAGGUUAUUGGUUUGUGAGCUUUCUUCUUUUCUAUUCAACACAUUUAAUGAGAUAAAUUUCCUUUUAAGCACUGCUUUUCUUGGAUUCCAUACAUUUUGGUAAGUUGUAUUUCCAUUUUUAUUUAGUUUGAAAUAUUUUUAAGUUUCUUUUGAGAGGUCUUUGAUCCAUGGGUUAUUUAGAAGUGUGUUGCUAACUUCCAAAUAUUUAGGGUCGUUCCAGCUAUUUUUCUGUUAUUUGUUUCUAGUCUAAUUCUACUGUAGUCAGGAUUUGGUGUCCGCCAUUAAUUUUGGAAAGUUCUCAGCUAUAAUUACUUUAAGUAUUUCUUCUGCUUCCUUCUGCCUUACUUUGUCUUUUGAUAUUCUAAUCUCACAUCUGACACAGCUUUUGAAGUACAGUUCUUAGAUCUCUGUUCUGCUUCUUUUUUAAAAAAAAUUUCAUUAUGUAUUUCUCUUGUGUUUCACUCUGGGAAAUUU